rnacentral:rRNA from 1 species
GCUAGACAUAGCAGUAAUGCAGUUAACACAGUAAGUGUGCCGCCUGGGGAGUACGGUCGCAAGAUUAAAACUCAAAGGAAUAGACGGGGACCCGCACAAGCGGUGGAGCAUGUGGUUUAAUUCGACGAUACGCGAAGAACCUUACCUGGCCUUGACAUAGUAAGAACUUUUUAGAGAUAGAUUGGUGCUAGUUUACUAGAGCUUACAUACAGGUGCUGCACGGCUGUCGUCAGCUCGUGUCGUGAGAUGUUGGGUUAAGUCCCGCAACGAGCGCAACCCUCGUGUUUAGUUAUUAACAGUUCGGCUGAGGACUCUAGACAGACUGCCUGGGUAACCAGGAGGAAGGUGAGGACGACGUCAAGUCAUCAUGGCCCUUACGGCCAGGGCUACACACGUGCUACAAUGGGGUAUACAAAGAGCCGCGAUACCGUGAGGUGGAGCAAAUCUCAUAAAAUAUCUCCCAGUUCGGAUAGUAGUCUGCAACUCGACUACUUGAAGUUGGAAUCGCUAGUAAUCGUAGAUCAGCAAUGCUACGGUGAAUACGUUCCCGGGUCUUGUACUCACCGCCCGUCACACCAUGGGAGUUGAUUUCAUUCGAAGCGGGGAUGCUAAAAUAGCUACCUUCCACAGUGGAAUUAGCGACUAGGGUGAAGUCGUAACAAGGUAGCCG